UACGUAGGUGGCAAGCGUUGUCCGGAUUUAUUGGGCGUAAAGAGCUCGUAGGCGGCUUGUCGCGUCGAAUGUGAAAUCUCAGGGCUCAACUCUGACAUUGCAUUCGAUACGGGCAGGCUAGAGUUCGGUAGGGGAGACUGGAAUUCCUGGUGUAGCGGUGAAAUGCGCAGAUAUCAGGAGGAACACCGGUGGCGAAGGCGGUUCUCUGGGCAUUACCUGACGCUGAGGAGCGAAAGCGUGGGGAGCGAACAGG
rnacentral:rRNA from 1 species